rnacentral:lncRNA from 1 species
UCUCACUCUCCUUCAUUACCUCCCCCUCGCCGGUCACAUAAUGUGGCCUGCGGACUCCGCGAAGCCAGCCGUUUACUACUUCCCUGACCAAAACGACGGCGUCUCAUUCACCGUUGCUGAAUCCGACGCCGAUUUCAGCCACCUCUCUGGCAAUAACGGAAACCGCGAAGCCGUUGAAUUUCAUCAUCUGACGCCCCAGUUGUCCAUAACCGACGAUAAAGCUGAGGUGGUUGCUAUACAAAUAACUUUGUUUCCGAAACAAGGGUUUUGCAUAUCCGUCUUGACUCACCACGCUGUCAUCGACGGGAUAAGCAAAACAAUGUUUGAGAGAUCUUGGGCUUAUUUCUGAAAACAAAUAAUUCAGAUGCAACAACAAAACCUUAAUAAUUCUUCGAUAUUAUUACCCACCAAGCUAAUCCCGUGCUUUGACCGGACUCUCAUCAAAGAUCGGAAAGGGCUGGACGUGGUUUAUGCGAACCACUGGCUGGCUUUUCAAUCCGACAAGCGAAGCUUGAAGCUCGUUAGUAUGCCGGCUCUGAAAGCACAUUCCAGCAUGGUUCGAAGGAGUUUCGAAUUGACCCGCGAAGACAUAAAGAAACUGAGGGACAAGGUACAGGGAAAUGAGGUUCUCAUAAGACAAGCAAAAGAACUUCAUUUGUCGUCUUAUGUGCUUACAUGUGCUUAUGUCUACGUUUGCCUGAUUAAAGCAAUGGGAGUAGAAGGUGACGCACCUGUUAUGCUGCGGGUCGGAGCAAAUUGUAGGAGCCGGUUGGAUCCUCCUCUUCCGGUUAAUUAUUUUGGUAACUGUGUUAGUGGGCAUGGUACCCCUGCAAAGGUAAGCGAUGUCGUGGAUCCGGAAAAUGGGAUCGCAUUUGUUGCUGACAGGUUAAGUGAUUUGGUCAAAGGGCUGAAGAGGGAAGUCAUUGAAGGAUCCGAGGAGAAGAUUUUGAAUUUGUUGAAAUAUGUAAAAGAGGGUGGAGGACAAGCUCCAGGAAGAUUGCUUGGGGUCGCCGGGUCGAACCGUUUUGAUGUUUACGGGUCAGAUUUUGGGUGGGGGAAGCCGAAAAGAGUGGAGAUUAUUUUAGAUCGUGUUGGAUCUAUUUAUUUGGUAGAGAGUAGAAAUGGAGGCGGUGCUGUUGAGGUUGGUGUUGUUUUGGAGAAGCCACAGAUGGAAGCUUUUUCGUCUCUCUUCGUUAAUGGCCUUAACUGAGUUUAUCAUAUUUUUGAGUUUUUUUCCUCUUCAUUCUAUUCUACUAUGAUAUGAGAUUGUGAUGGUAUACUCGUUAUUGCUGAGGGCACUUAUUCGAAUUUGCACGCAGGCUCUUUUCUCAGUAAACCUAUUACAAUCUUAUUACAUAUCAUAUAUUUGUAGAUCAAAACUAUUAAAAAAUAAUUAAGGACUUGAGGUUAUUCUCUUAUUUGAUAAAUAUCUAAUUAGUAGUAAAUGUCAGCUGUUACCUCUUUAUAUUUUUGCUUUGAAUAAAAAAAACAUAAACACUUAUUUUCUAUGCAUAUAUUUAUUUAUUUAAAUGUCAUAUCUUUAAGUUUUUUAAAUUAGAGUGAUAUCUUGAUAUCACUAUUCACUAGGGCCAUGCAUAGCUUUUAGAAGUGGUUGAAAGUUGAAACUUCAUCCUUUUGGCAUUACAUAUUUCGCCCGAAAGAAACUUCAACGACAUGAUCCGCAUGGGCGGCGAUUGCACAUUAUUAAAUAAGUCUCAUGCCCUUGAUCACACGUGUACUAGCUAGUCAAAAUAUUGACAAAUCUCAUUUUCGAUAACCUCUUAAAGGGAAAUAUUUAAUUCUAAAUAUGCUUUGCCUUUUUAAUGUCGAAUUCUUCAAAACUCAUUUGAUGAACAUUAAAUAUGUAAAAUAUUAUUUUCUACUUACAUCCAUAAUGCUCAAACUAGUUGAUUUCACCAUUUACUCAUUGAUUUAUGACUGUGGCUCCUCUUUAACUCAAAAAACAUAAUUAUAUAUCCAGCAUAUAAAAUUUGUGAAAUAAUAAACUAAUUUUCGAGGUACUCUCCACGAGUUCAUCCACCGACAUAAUAAUAAAAAAUUAUUAAUUAAACGUUUCAUGGCCUAAGUUAACAUAAUUGAGUUUUCAUAUAUAAACCACGAAAUAUCAUACACUUCUUUUGAAAAUUACGAGAUCCAAUUGAAAAUUACGAGAUCCAACAACAGAUACUUCGAUUAAAGUAUCGACUUAAACAUAGUCAUAGAACACUUAAGUUAAAAUUUCGUAUUACACACAACAUUAAUGUUUGUAUAUAGUUUUGUUAAGCAUUAAAAUUUACCUUUCUUCAUCAAUUUAAGUUUUUAAGUAAAAGGAUUUCAUUAACAUACUAUUUGAAUUAAUAUUUUUAAAAUAUAUAAUUUCAUCAAUUUAUUUUUUUAUCCUUCAAUAGUUACUUUUACUUUUUCAUUUUCUUUCUUCAUUUUUUUUAAUUCACCUAAUAGCUAAUAGCUUUGUAGUCACAAGUCCUAAAAACACUUUUUGAUCGAUUUUUGAUUUUUGUAACUUACUAUUCGAUUCCAGUUACCACAUCGCAUAUGCUUCAAGAAAAUGAAAGUUUCAUUAGCCAUCCAAACUCUAUCAAAAAUUCAUUUUAAUUGUAUCACAUAUCAUUAUGAUGAUAUUGAUGAUGAGUGUAUUGACAAAUAAAGAAUGUGCGAGUCAUUAUUUUAUUUUGAGUACAUGCAUGUUUAGUUCCGAUAUUUUUGGUUUAAGCACCCAUUUAGUCCUUAUAUUUUAAAAAAUACCUAAAAACAUCCAUGUAAUAAAUAAUAUUACAUUCUUAGUCUUUUUUUUUCUUUCUUUUUACAAUAACACCAUCGAACAAUAAUUUUGACAUUAAUCAAUAUAUAUAUGUAUGUAUGCAUGUGUGAAUGCAUGCAUACACAUGAACACAUUAAAAAGUUCAUUAAUAAAUUAACCAAUAAUUAUUUAGGAGCAAAUUAAACAAAUAAAUACGAGUGUGAAAGAAUUAUUAUUUUUUGUACUUGUGCAACAGUGUUACUAAUUACUAUUAAUGAAUAAAUUAAUAUAAGCUAACUUAAAGCAAUAUUUAAUAUGCUGACAACAAGCUUACUAAUUAUUAUUUCAUAAAAAAUUAGUUUACCAAAUUAAUACUAAAAAUAAAAUAAUUAUAAUAUAAAAGUUUGUGUAGAUUUUUAUGUUACUUUUAAAGUUGAUUUAAUAAAUUAUCAUUUUUUUUCUUUUUAUUAGUAUCUCCAAGAAUAUUCUUGCAAGGGUGAAAUUGUAAUAGGAAAGAAAAAGUCAGGUACGAUUAUAACACAUUUAACAACGUGGAUGUCUUGAGGUAUUAUUUUUAAUAUAAAGACUAAGCAACACUUUAAUCAAAAUAUAAGGAUUAAAUGAGCAUUUACCCUUUUAUUUUUUUUAAAAUUAAAGAAUAGUUCCUAACUUCAUAAUUAUGAUAGGAGUAGGUAGUAGAUUUAUAUAGUUUAGUUUUAGAUUUGAUUUAUUUUUAAAGAUUAAAACUUAUUCAGCUUGGAAUUGAUCAAUUUUUAAUUAGUUUUUAGGUUAUAAAAUUAUAUUGACUUAUAAUUGUUGAUAAAGCCUUCUUUCUAUUGAGUUCACUAGUAAAGUCUUAUGAAGGUUUUGUCGAUUCUAUGUUGCAUUGCAGAACAACCUUAACAUCAAAAGGUGAUAAAGCCUUUCUGAGUUCAAAGGAGGUUUAGAAGAAUAAUCGGCAUGAAGUAAGUAAUUUCAUCAUCGGAAUCGCUAGAGAAGCAAACACUUCCUUCGCCUUUAAAAUUUUACUCGUAAAUAAUAUACAAAAUUGAAUUGAUGAUGCAAGAAUAGUAUAUUUAACAAAUACUUGAUUCAAGCAGGUUUUGAUAUGGGAUCUGAGGCAUUGAUAUGCGAUCUUCUUCUCAUCGUGGCGAGAGACGAGUCUCGUGAGCUUGAUAGAAGCUGAUCAGCCGUUGGUUGAGAUGGAGGGAUUUGUUAUCUCUGCCGUUGAUUCAACAUUUUUGCGAGAAGUUCAUGGAACAUGGAAUUUUAACUUAUGCUUUGCUCUUACUUUUUCUAAGAGUAAGAAGGAAACAGAGGGCAAAAUAAUUUAAAGGUUCAGCUACCUUGGAGUAGCUCUAAGAUAGAGCAGUCUCCAAAACCGUUGGAAAUUGUUGAAUGUCUAUAGCUGAAUAUGAAACAAUUGUAACAAUGUACAUCCAACGGUUUUGGAGACUGCUCUACCUUAAAACUGCUCUAACGUAGCAGCUGCCUAAUUUAAAAGGAGGCAGAGUAUUUAAAAGGAAAUGGAUUUUAAAACACAAAAAUCUAUAAUCAUUUUUUUUUGGAAGUUGUGUUUGGAAUUGACAAUCAAAAUAGCUUAAAUACUCAAUGUACGUAUGGGUUCAAAAUUCAAUGAUUUUCCAUUAAAUUCUAUUUGAAUUCAAUUAUAGAUUGAAUCUCGAAACUUUUUAACCAACUCAAUCUAAUCUUAGAUUGCAUUUUAUAUUUUUGUGUGUGUGUGUGUGAUGUGAUACUAAACUUUAUUAAAGUCUGGGAAAGGUAUUAAGUCAUAUUGUCUAAUAGUAUAAUGCUAUUAACUUUCCUGAACUUUAACAAAUCCAAAAUCCUAGAUUAACACACUUAUAUAUAGUUAUUCUCUCAUAUCGGCAUCCUCAUUUUUGUUGUAUAAUGUUAUUAGCUUUCUCGAACUUACACCCACCCACACACACACACACACACACACACACACACACACACACACACACAACAUUAGUAGUUUUUUUUAUCUGAAAUCUUAAAGUGUAGAAAAAGUCCGAGAAAACUUUACAACAGUGGGGUUUAAGAGGCUUAAAACUUAUAGCGCUUAAACCACGCGGUUUAUUUGUUUUCCCAGGCUUUUUUGCACUUCAAAAUUCUACAUUGGAAUAUAUAUUUAUAUUUAAUUAAUCUCAGAUUAAAAACCCAAUCAAGCGAGUAAUCAUUAACAUCAAUAUUGACUAAGGCACCAUUUGAUAUAUCUUUCAAAUAGUACUUAUUUAAGUAGAAUUUUAUUAGUAGAGCUUUUAUAAGUAGAGUUUUUAUUAAAAAAAUUAGUUGUUUGGUUGUUAAUGAGAACUUUUAUUAAAAUUAUAAAAUUACUUUAAUAGGCAAGUUAUUUAAAGUUAUGCUAUAAAGAAAUGAAAUAAGAUUUUGAAAUAAAGAAAAAAUAGUUUAGAUAUUUUAAUAUUUUAAAAAUGUUUUUUAACCUUUACUCCUAAAAGCCGAAAAUUUGAGCUUUUGCUAAUAGAGACAAAAUAACUUAUUUAACCUUCAAAAGCUUUACCCACAAAAAAAAAAAAAAACAACAACAAAAAAAUUUAAAAAAAGUUUACGAGAUUAAAUAAACACUUAUGACUAUUAGAUAAGUCAUACUAAACAAGCACUAAAUAAUUUUAUUAAACGAGUAAAAUCGUAGAUGUAGUAAUUAAAUACAUGUAUGAUAUAUUGGUUUAACAAGACCUACAUAAAAUUUUGAUUAUUAAUAUUUAGAGAGUAAUUUAUCUCUACUUAUAUUCAUGAUAGAGAAAAUAUUUGAAUGGCAGUGCUACUCAAAACUUAUAAUCCCAAUAAACCAUCAUUUGGUUUUUAUAGCUUAGUUAAGUUAUAAAUUUGCCCCCGUCAUACUAAUCAAAUAAAUUAAAUUUAGGUUUAAAAUUUAUUUUAAAAAUCACACACACACUGGCGCACAUACAUAUAUUUAUCAAUUUAAAUUUUAAGGUCAGAGAAUUUCAUUAACAUAAUAUCUAAAUUAAUAUUUCAAAUCUAUUUAACCCAUCAAUUUAUCUUUUUAUAAUUCAAUAGUUACUUUUACGCUUUUGUUUACUUUCUUUCAUUUUUUUGCUUCAUCCGAUAACUGUUAGCUUUGAAAUAAACAAUUUUGAUCGAUUUUUGACUUUUUUUCGCUUUCGUUUUAUUUCUUUCAUUUUUUGCUUCAUCUGAUAGCUGUUAGCAUUGAAAUAAACCAUUUUCAUCGAUUUUUGACUUUUGCAACUUACUAUUGGAUUCUAGGUAUGACAGUGCUUAUGCUUCAAGAAAAUUACAGUUUCAUCGGAGAUCCAAACUCUAUUAAAAAUUAAUUUUAAUUGUGUUACAAAUCACAUAAUUUAAUUAUGAUGAUAUUGACGAUGAGUGUAUCGACAAAUGAGGAAUGCGAGAGUCGUUGUUAUUUUUUUGUAAUUUAAAAACAGUUCCUAACUUCAUAAUUAUGAUAGGAGCGAGCAACAGUCUUAUAUGGUUUAGUUUUAGACUUGAUUUACAUUUUAAAGAUUAAAACUAAUCCAAUUUGGAAUUGAUCAAUUUUUAAUUAGUUUUGUAAGUUAUGAAAAUUAUACUGACUUGUAAUUGUUGACACGUACUUGCUUCUAUAAAAUUUAUUAUCAAUAAUUUAAAAAUCUAACAACUUAAAUGUCUUUCAUUUUUUUUUUAAAUUUACAAUCACAAUGCAUUCUAGUUUAUGAUCUAUAUAAUUAGAAUUCUAUCUAGUAUUUUUAGAUUGUAAAUUAGUAUUAAUUGUAAGUACCAUAGUUAGGUACACAUACUUUUACAAAUUUUAUUGAGACACUGGGUACGAUAGGUGAUCAAAUUUGGCCGGCGACCACGUGAAAUUUAUUGCUUCACAUUUUUGAUGGAUUGGAUUCAUGACAAUGAGGGCUAUUUAAGCACUUCAAAAGCCAAAAUACUGAUGCACCAAGGAGUGGUUUCGGCAUUGUUUCUUAAUAUUUUUACUCUCUCCCUCACGAUCGUCAUGGCAGAAAAACAUAUAGUGAAAAUACAUUCAGUUAGCAAAAUCAGCCCGCCGUCGUCCGACUCAGUCACCGCCUCCACUCUUCCACUCACCUACUUCGAUACUCUCUGGCUAAAAUUUCCACCUUCAGAACGCCUCUUUUUCUAUCAAAUCACUGACCUAACUUUCGAUUUAUUCAACUCAGUGAUCAUCCCGAAGCUCGCUGACUCUCUCUCUCUCACUCUCCUUCAUUAUCUCCCCCUCGCCGGUCACAUAAUGUGGCCUGCGGACUCCGCGAAGCCAGCUAUUUACUACUUCCCUGACCAAAACGACGGCGUCUCAUUUACCGUUGCUGAAUCCGACGCCGACUUCAGCCACCUCUCUGGCAAUAACGGAAACCGCGAAGCCGUUGAAUUUCAUCAUCUGACGCCCCAGUUGUCCAUAUCCGACGAUAAAGCUGAGGUGGUUGCUAUACAAAUAACUUUGUUUCCGAAACAAGGGUUUUGCAUAUCCGUCUUGACUCACCACGCUGUCAUCGACGGGAUAAGCAAAACAAUGUUUGAGAGAUCUUGGGCUUAUUUCUGCAAACAACUAAUUCAGAUGCAACAACAAAACCUUAAUAAUUCUUCGAUAUUAUUACCCACCGAGCUAAUCCCGUGCUUUGACCGGACUCUCAUCAAAGAUCCGGAAGGGCUGGACGUUGUUUAUGCGAACCACUGGCUGGCUUUUCAAUUUGACAAGCGAAGGUUGAAGCUCGUUAGUAUGCCGGUUCUGAAAGCACAUUCCAGCGUGGUUCGAAUGAGCUUCGAAUUGACCCACGAAGACAUAAAGAAAAUGAGGGACAAGGUACAGGGAAAUGAGGUUCUCAAAAGACAUGCAAAAGAACUUCAUUUGUCGUCUUAUGUGCUUACAUGUGCUUAUGUCUACGUUUGCCUGGUUAAAACAAUGGGAGUAGAAGGUGACGCAACUGUUAUGCUGCGGGUCGGAGCAAAUUGUAGGAGCCGGUUGGAUCCUCCUCUUCCGGUUAAUUAUUUUGGUAACUGUGUUAGUGGGCAUGGCAUGGUACCCCUGCAAAGGUAAGCGAUGUCGUGGAUCCGGAAAAUGGGAUCGCAUUUGUUGCUGACAAGUUAAGUGAUUUGGUCAAAGGGCUGAAGAGGGAAGUCAUUGAAGGAUCCGAGGAGAAGAUUUUGUUUGUGUUGAAAUAUGUAAAAGAGGGUGGAGGACAAGCUUCAGGAAGAUUGCUUGCGGUAGCCGGGUCGAACCGUUUUGAUGUUUCCGAGUCAGAUUUUGGGUGGGGGAAGCCGAAAAGAGCGGAGAUUAUUUUAGAUCGUGUUGGAUCUAUUUAUUUAGUAGAGAGUAGAAAUGGAAGCGGUGGAGUUGAGGUUGGUGUUGUUUUGGAGAAGCCACAAAUGGAAGCUUUUUCUUCUCUCUUCGUUAAUGGCCUUAACUGAGUUUAUCAUAUUUUUGUGUUUUUUUCUCUUCAUUCUAUUCUCCUAUGAUGAGAUUGUGAUGGUGUACUCGUUAUUCUAUUCUACUAUGAUGAGAUUGUGAUGGUCUCUUCAUUCUAUUCUUCGCACGCAGGCUCUUUUCUUAGUAAACCUAUUACAAUCUUAUUACAUAUUAUAUAUUUGUAGAUCAAAACUAUUAAAAAAUAAUUAAGGACUUGAGGUUAUUCUCUUAUUUGAUAAGUAUCUAAUUAGUGUAAAUGUCAGUUGUUACCUCUUUAUAUUUUUGCUUUGAAUAAAAAAAAAACUCUUAUUUUUUAUGUAUUUAUUUAUUUAAAUGUCAUAUCUUUAAGUUUUUUAAAUUAGAGUGAUAUCUUGAUAUCACUAUUCACUAGGGCCAUGCAUAGCUUUAGAAAGGAAUGGUUGAAACUUCAUCCUUUUGGCAUUACAUAUGAUGCGGCCGAAAGAAACUUCAACGACAUGAUCCGCAUGGGUGGCCAUUGCACAUUAUUAAAAUAAGUCUCAUGCCCUUGAUCACACGUGUACUAACAAGUCAAAAUAUUGACAAAUCUCAUUUUCGAUAACUUCUUAAAGGGGAGUAUUUAAUUCUAAAUAUGCUUCGCCUUAUUUAUGUCGAAUUCUUCAAAACUCAUUUGAUGAACAUAAAAUAUGUAAAAUACUGAUACACGCGUAUGUAUUUUUUUUUUUUAACCACGAGGUGGUCUUGGGUGGGUCCCAACUGUGGGAGGUACAUUUAAGCCCGUACCACAUUUCAGACUAAUCCCCGCUCGCACCGGGUCGGCCCGUAAAGGAUAAAGUGCUGGCCAAAGUGGUGACUCCAUACGAGAGCGGGACUUAAACCCUUGACCUCUCUCAAGGAGUGAGAGUACCGAACCACUCACACCAACCAAUUUUAGUUUACGCGUAUGUAUUUUCUACUUACAUCAAUAAUGCUCAAACUAGCUGAUUUCAUCAUUCGCUCAUUGAUUUUAUGACUGUGGCUCCUCGUUAACUCAAAAAACAUAAUUAUAUAUCAAGCAUAUAAAAUUUAUGAAAAUAAUUUUUGAGAUACUCUCCACGAGUUCAUCAACCGACAUAAUAAUAAAAAAAUUAUUAAUUAAACGUUUCAUGGCCUAAGUUAACAUAAUUGGGUUUUCAUAUAUAGACUAUGAAAUAUCAUACACUUCUUUUAAAAAUUACGAGAUCCAACAACAGAUACUUUGAUUGAAGUAUUGACUUAACCAUAGUCAUAGAGCACUUAAGUUAAAAUUUCAUAUUACACACAACAUUAAUGUUUGUAUAUAGUUUUGUUAAGUAUUAAAAAUUACCUUUAUUGAUCAAUUUAAGUUUUUAAGUCAAAGGAUUUCAUUAACACAAUAUUUGAAUUAAUAUUUUUUAAAUAUAUAAUUUCAUCAAUUUAUUUUUUUAUUCUUCAAUAGUUACUUUUACUUUUUCAUUUUCUUUCUUCAUUUUUUUAAAUUCACCUAAUAGCUAAUAGCUAAUAGCUUUGUAGUCAAAAUUCCUAAAAACACUUUUUGAUCGAUUUUUUAUUUUUGUAACUUACGAUUUGAUUCCAGUUACCACAACGCAUAUGCUUCAAGAAAAUGAAAGUUUCAGCAGGCAUCCAAACUCUAUCAAAAAUUCAUUUUAAUUGUAUCACAUAUCAUAUAAAUUAAUUAUGAUGAUAUUGACGAUGAGUGUAUCGACAAAUAAGGAAUGUCUGAGUCAUUCUUUUAUUUUGGGUACAUACUCGUUUAGUUUCGAUAUUUUUUGUAUAAGUAUCCAUUUAGUCCUUAUAUUUUAAAAAAUAACUAAAAACAUCCAUGUAAUAAAUAAUAUUACAUUCUUAGUCUUUUUUUUUCUUUUUACAAUAACACCCUUCCAACAAUAAUUUUGACAUUAAUCAAUAUAUGUAUGUAUGCAUGUAUGUAUGUAUGUAUGUAUACGCAUGCACACAUUAAAAAGUUCAUUACUAAAUUAACCAAUAAUUAUUUAGUAGCAAAUUAACAAAUAAAUACCAGUGUGAAAGAAUUAUUAUUUUCUGUACUUAUGCAACAAUCUUACUAAUUAGUAUUAGUGAAUAAAUUAAUAUCAGCUAACUAAAGCAAUAUUUAACAUGCUUACAACAAGCUUACUAAUUAUUAUUUUAUAAAAAAUAGUUUACCAAAUUAAUCCUAAAAAUAAAAUAAUUAUAAUAUAAAAGUUUGUGUAAAUUUUGUAUGUUAGUUUUAAAGUUGAUUUGAUAAAUUAUCAUUUUUUUUUUAUUUUUAUUAGUAUCCCCAAGAAUAUUCUUGCAAGGGUGUAAUUGUAAUAGGAAAGAAAAAGUAAGGUAGGAUUAUAACACAUUUAGUAAUAGGGAUGUCUUAAGGUAUUAUUUUAAAUAUAAAGACUAAACAUGCACUUUAGUCAAAAUAUAAGGAUUAAAUGAGCAUUUACCUUUUUUUUUGGGUAAUUAAAGAAUAGUUCCUAAUUUGAUAAUUAUGCUAGGAGCGAGUAGUAAACUUAUAUAGUUUAGUUUUAGAUUUGAUUUACUUUUAAAGAUUAAAAUUGAUUCAACUUGGAAUGGAUCAAUUUUUAAUUAGUUUUUUAGGUUAUGAAAAUUAUAUUGGCUUAUAAUUGUUGAUAAAACAUUCUUUCUAUUGAGUUCACUAUUAAAGUCUUAUGAAGGUUUUGUCGAUACUAUGUUGCAUUAUAGAACAAUCUUAACAUUAGAAUGAAAUACUAACUAGGCAACCCAAGAGGGGAGGGGGUGAAUUGAGUUUUUAAAACUUAAGCUAAACAAAUCACACAACAAUUCAAUCUAUUGCCUUAAUGAAAUAAAAAAAUAAUAAAUUUAAUAAAGCACAAUAAUAAAAGAGUAAGGGAAGAGAGAGUAAACACAAUGAUUUUUAGGUGGUUCGGCAAUCUCCGCUUAUGUCCACACCUCCAAGUAAACCAAGCUUGAGGAUUUCACUAUCCAAGCCUCCCAAGGCUUCAAAUGCUUACAAUUGACUUCCAAUGUGUCAAUGGACCUUUAUAACAAGAGAUUAUCCCCAAUCUCUUCACCCAAAUGUAUCCCAACACUUACAACCUCUCAACUUGAUUUUAUAAAAAGGAUUACAAAAAUUUCUCUCACACAAUGUGUUUGAAUACAAAUGAAAUCCCAAUAUGUGUGAAUAAAUGAAAUGAAUACACAAAGUUUAUGCUUUAGACUUGUAGAGAAAUACUCAAUAAUAACAAUGGUUGCAUCACUUUGAUUGAAAUUGAUUUGAGCCAAUUUAUAGUUGAAGAAGAAAAAUAGUCGUUAUUAACUUUAUGGUGAUAACCGGCUUGCCGCUUUAUGCUACCGUUAUAUUCAAAGAUUUGAAUUUUUGCACAUCCGGCAUGCCGUUUUUCUUUUCCUAUAGGCCACUUUUAGUCCAGAGAGUUUUUGUCCAUAACCAGUUUGCCGCUUGAUAAAUCCGGCUAGUCGCUAGCUACAGUGAAACAUCUAUUUUUUAAAAUUAUAGUUUUACCCCAAAACUUUAUAAAAUUAUACUAUAACUCAAAAUGUCAUAAAACUUUGCAAAAAGGUCCAAUUUUAGAAUUUCUAAAUAAUACUUGUCAUUCUCAAAACUUGUUGAAAUUAUGAUAAAGCCCAAAAUUUAUAGAAAUUAUAGUAUGACCUAAAACAUUUCAAAUUGCAAAUAAGUCCAAAUUCAGAAUUCAAAACAAUACUUAUUAAAAUCAAAGAUGACAAAACUUUUUCAUUUUAGUCCACAUCUUGAAAAAUAACUAAUUUCAUAAAGUCAUUCUCUUGUUAUAAAAACAUAAUGUGUAAUUUUUUGUUUAUUCAAAACAUGUGGUUUGUUAUCAUCAAAAUCAACAUUUUAUAGCCAUAUAGGCUAACAAUCUCCUUUUUUAUGAUGACAAAACACAUUAUAAGCACAUUAUAAAAUUUUGAUUUAGUUAUGAAAAACUCCCCCUUGAUAAAUACAAGAUUAAAAAACUUAUUUGAAAAAGCUCCCCUUGCAUGAAUGCAUGUGAAUAGUUUUCAUAAUCAUAACAAUUGCAUAUAAUAUCUCUCCACUUUCAUCAUCAAAAAGAGGAAAAAUGCUUCUCCUAUCAAGCAUAAAAAACUCAAGACAAGCACAUUGGUUCCACAUUAUCCAAAACAUAAGUAAAAAAUAAAACAAACAACCAUAUCAAAUCCAUAGAAUUCAAAACAAACACAUAAUCCAAAAUCAUAACAAACAUCCAUAUAAUCUAAAUAGAAAAUAAAAGAACAUAAAGCAAUAAAUGUUGGUGUGUCAAAAUACAAGCAUAAGAGACUACUAAGGUGGUGAGGAUGGUGGUGAUGGAGGUGGAAACAGAUAUGGAAUGCCGAAGUGCUCAAAGAGGAGGCGCUAUCCAUGAAUGAGCUGCCGAUGCUGCUAUGAAAAGCGCUGAUACUCCUUAAGAAUAUGUUGCUGCUGCACAGAAAGUCUCCUCACCUCAUCCAUAAGCUGUUGAAGAGUAACCUUUUCAAAGGUAGGAGGUUCCGGAGGUGGUAUAAUAGAUGUAGACACUUGAGGUUCUCGACGCUUAUGUUGACCUCGAAAAGGAAGCGAAAAAUCAGGAAGCUGAUUAGCAGGAACCACAUCGUUGAGUGGCCGAUCAUCACUCGGUGCAAGCAAAGUGUACUUGUUUUCAGUUAAUUUUACUCAAGCUCCAUUACACCACUAAAAUCCUAAGGCAUAUACAACUUCAUCCCCUAUACUCUUAGAGGGUUUACAAGAUGGUUUAUUUAUAGGCACCCUAAAGUGUUUAAGGAUCUGGGUGAUGAAAUGACUAUAUGGAAGGGAACGAGUAAUCAAUUUAGGGAUGGAAAACAUGGUUUGGAUAAUAAUGUAUCCCAAGUUAACUGGACAAUGUCUAAGGAUGGAAUCAAUCAAAGCAACAUCCAUGUGGGAGACAUCAUCCAAAUGCCCUGAAAAUAGGAAGUAUAAUGGUAUGAAUAAAACGAAGUAAAACCCGAGUUUGGAGACAUAGAUAUUGAGUGUUGAAAUGGAUGUUACAAAUUUCAUCAGAAAGAUUAAUACGCCGGCAUAUAUUUCUAACGGCGUCAACAUGAACAUAAUGACCAAUAUCGGGGGAUUUCCUAGCAGAAAAUAUUUCUAGGCGAAAAUCGGAGGUUCCUAUGAUAGAAUUUAACUCUGAAACAUCAAAAUCAAUUAAAACGCCUCCAACAUUGGUAAUUACUCGAUUCUUUUUCUCCUCGAAAAUAUCCAUAUUCAAGUAAAAUACUUUCACCAAGUUGGGAUACACAUUCUCCUUAAUCACAAGAGCAUUAAUCCAACCAACUUCUUCCAACAACUGAAACAAAUUUCUAUUACUAAUACUGAGACUACGAAUCCAAUUCGAUAAAAUAAAAAAUGUAAGGAGUACCUCACGGGUCAUAAAUUUUUGGUGAAAUCGCUUGACUAAACACUGGUCCGAAAAGUGCUUGGAUUCAAAGUUGGACUGAUUGGAAGUGUCCCUUGCUUGCCGUGGCCAUUUGGCUUGUUGAACAUGUUCUUUCACUUUUCCUUUAAUCGGCCUUGAACUAGACGUGACAAUGUUGAGUAAUUUGAAGAUAAAUGAAGCAAUAAGAAGGAAGAUAAUGAGGUUUAAAAGGGAUAUAGAUGUUCAAUUUGGGUGGAUGUUAACUAAAGAAGAAGAAAUUUAGAGAGAGAAAGUUUGGUUGAAAACCUAGGUUAAAAUUGGGAUCUUGUGAGUUUGAUGAUGAAAAUGGAUUUUGAAGAUGAUUUUAGGUACAAAGAAUGAUGGUGAAUGAUUUUUGUGAAUCAAUUUGGUGUAGAAAUCAAUGAGAAUGAUGGAGUUUAGAGAGAAAAUGAGUGAGGAAUAAACGAUUUUGAGAGAGAGAAAAUAGUUUGCCGAAUGGAAAAGAAGAAGAUGAACAAUUUAUUUUUAAAAACCCGAAUCCAGUUAAUUGGAUUUCACUAACCGGCCAACUGGUGUGUGUCCAAAAAGGGAAAUUUAGUAAACGGUUUACCGAUUUUCCAAUCCGACUAACCGGUUGUUUCCAGUAAGUGAUGAUCAAAUAAACGACUUACUGGUUUGGAGAAACGGUAUACCGGUUAUGUUCCAGAAAAUAAACUUAUAAAAAUAGCUGACCGUUUUCCUUAACCGGCUAUCUAGAUUUUUGCCCGAGAGCAACCUCAAGAAAACAGCCUUCUGGUUUUCUAUAUUCGGCUAUCCAGUUUUGGUCUAGUAAGUAACCAUAAGAAAAACAGCUUUCCAGUUGGUUAGAAGUGGUAUGCCGGUUUUGCCUUAGAAAACAUUUUGCCACUUUUGGAUUAUGAUUAACUGGUAAACUUGUAUUACACACACUAAUUUAUUUUUGGCUUAAAACUUGAUCGAUUUUAUAUCAUUUUGUGAUUCAAAACUUGUCAAUAAGCCUUUUAAUGAAUGAAACAUAAGUGCAUACAAGAGCAAACAUAUGAAAUUACUCAUAUCAAACAAUGAUGCCAUACAAAAAAAAAUUAAUUUAAGACACAACAUUCAUCAUUUUAAGCUCAUGUCUAAUUUUUAUAAACUGCUCUUUGCUAAGGGGUUUUGUAAAGAUAUCUGCAAGUUGAUUUUUAGUAGAAACAAAUUUAAUCACAACAUCUCCUUUUUUAACAUGAUUUCUUAGGAAAUGAUGUCUAAUCACUAUAUGCUUAGUCCUAGAAUGUUGAAUGAGAUUCUUUGAUAGAUUGAUAGAACUAGUAUUGUCACAUAAGAUAGGUAUUUAAUCAAGAUUAAUACUAUAGUCUCUAAGAGUUUGUUUCAUCCAAAGAGCUUGUGCACAACAACUACCUGUGGCAAUAUAUUCCGCCUUAGUGGUUGAAAGUGCAAUCGAAUUUUGUUUCUUACUAAACCAAGAGACAAGUAAAUGACCUAGGAAGUGACAUGUUCCACUAGUACUUUUUUUGUCAACCUUAUAUCCGGAAAAGUCGGCAUCAGUAUAACAAUUUAAGUCAAUAUGAGUUCCCCUAGGAUACCAAAGGCCAAGAUUGAUGGUGCCGAUCAAAUAUAAAAAAAAAAUCGUUUAACGGCAAGCAAGUGUGACUUUUUAGGACAAUAUUGAAAUCUAGCACACAAGCAUAAACUAAACAUAAUAUCAGGCCUACUAGUAGUCAAGUAGAGUAAGGAUAUGAUCAUAUCUCGAUAUGUCUUAAUGUUAACCUCCUUACCUUUCUCAUCUUUGUAUAGCUUGAUGGUAGUAUUCAUUGGAGUGCUUUUUGCAGUUCUAUUAUCAUAGCUAAAUCUUUUGAGCAAGUCUUUUACAUACUUGGCUUGAUUUAUGAAAAUUUCAUCCUCAUCUUGUUUUAUUUGCAGUCCAAGAAAGUACUUCAACUCUCCCAUCAUACUUAUCUUAAAUUCUUUACUCAUACAAGAUGAAAAUUCUUUACACAGUAAUUCAUUAGUAGAACCGAAGAUAAUGUCAUCAACAUAAAUUUGAACUACAAGCAUAUCUUGGUUCUUAUGCUUAACAAAGAGAGUAGUAUCCACUUUUUCCAUUGAAAAACCAUUAUCCAAUAACAAAUUCUUAAGUCUAUCAUACCAUGCUCUAGGUGCUUGCUUUAAUCCAUACAACGCUUUUGACAAUUUAUAAAUAUGAUUUGGAAAUUUUUCAUUUUCAAAACCAGAGGUUGUUUUACAUAACAUUCCUCCAUAAUAUAACCAUUUAAGAAAGCACUCUUGACAUCCAUUUGAAAUCAAAUGAAAUCUUUAUGACAUGCAAAUGCUAAAAGUAUACUAAUGGAUUCUAGUCUAGCUACAGGAGUAAAUGUUUCAUCAAAAUCAAUUCUCUCUUCUUGGUUGUAACCUUGAGCCACUAAUCUAUCUUUAUUUCUUACAACCACACCAGAUUCAUCAAUUUUGUUUCUAAAAACCCAUUUAGUGCCUAUAAUGGAUUGAUGUUCUGAUUUAGUAACUAAUUUCCAAAUAUUGUUGCUCUCAAAUUGAUUUAACUCCUCUUGCAUUGCCAUAAUCUAAUAUUCAUCAUUUUCCACAUACUCAAAGAAUUUUGGUUCAAUUUGAGAAAUAAAUACUUCAUGCUCACAAGUAUUUCUAAAUGAUGAUCUAAUGGUAACACCUCUUGAAGGAUCACCUAAAAUUAAAUAUUUAGGAUAAGAGAAAACAUACCUCUACUCCUUAGGGAGUGUUUGAGAAGCACCUUCUUGUUGCUCCAUAUUUGUUUGUUCUUCUUGUCUAUCCUCUUGAUUUUCUUGUGGUGCAUUCUCUUAUUUAUCUUUUGAUGAUUCUUCUUGUAACUCUCCAUAUGUAUCAUCAUUAAUAACUACUUUCUCCGCAGAGAAGGGGUUAGAUUCAUCAAACGUAACAUACAUUGAUUCUUCCACAACUAAAGUUCUUUUGUUAUAAACUCUAUAAGCUUUGCUCGAGUUUGAAUACCCAAGAAAGAAACCAACAUCAGAUUUUGAAUCAACUUUUCUAAGGUUAUCUUUUGUAUUCAAAAUAAAACAUUUGCAUCCAAAAACUUUGAAAUAAUAAUGUUGGUUUUCUAUCUUUCUAAAGCUCAUAGGAAGUUUUAUUGAGAUGAGGUCUAAUGAACACACGAUUUAAAACAUAACAAGCAGUGUUGACGGCCUCAGCCCAAUAAUUUUCAUUCAACAUGAUCCUAGCCAUUUUUUGAAUAGACCUAUUCUUUCUCUUAAUAACUCCAUUUUGUUGUGGAGUUAUAGGUAAUGAAAAUUGAUGCACAAUGCCUAAAUUGUUGCAAAAAGGUUUCAAAUGCACGCUUUUCAAACUCCCCUCCAUGAUUACUCCUAAUGCAUGCAAUACCAUACCCUUUUUCAUUUUGAAUUUUCUUACAAAGCACUUUAAAAGCAUCAAAAGCAUCAUCCUUAUUAGUUAAGAAUAAUACCCAUGUGUAUCUUGAAAAAUCAUCAACAAUUACAAACGCAUAAUACUUCCCACUCAAGCUAGCAUACCUUAAAGGUCCAAAAUAAGUGUAUGUGAAGUAAUUGAAGAGGUUUUGAAGUAGAAAUAUGAUUUUUGCUUUUAAAAGAGAUUUUGUUUUGUUUAUCAAAUUGGUAUGCUUAAAAAAUUCUAUUUUUUUGAAAUUCGAUCUUUGGAAGACCUUUAACCAAAUCGUUUUUGGAAAUCUUUGAAAUUAAAUCCAUGCUUGCAUGUCCUAGUCUUCUAUGCCAUAACCAACCAUCAUUAUGCAAUGCGGAAAAAUAUUUAUCAUAUGUAGAUGCACAAUCUAUAUCAAUGGUAUAAACAUUAACAAAUCUAUUUUCUACAAAUAAAAUCUUGCCAUCACAUGCGUUUUCAAUAACACAUCUAGUCUUAUAAAAAACAACUUUAUAACCCUUAUCACACAAUUGACUAAUGCUAAGAAAAUUUUGUUUCAAGUUUUCAACCAAACACACGUUUUCAACCAAACACACAUUUUCAACAAGAGUAGAGGAUACAUUACUGAUGUUGCCAGUACCAAAGAAAACAUUUCCACUAUUCUCGAUCUUGGUAAAACUUAAAACCCAAGAGUAAUUCUCUGUCAUUUGUCUUGAACAUCCACUGUCCAAGUAUCACUUAUUUUUCCUUUUCUUUGAUCACUACAAAAAAAAGUUUCUAAGUUUUAGGUUCCCAAAAUUUCUUGGGUCUUUGAGUGUUAGCAAUGAUUCCUUUUGGAAUUCAAAUACAUUUCACACCAUAAUAUGCAUUUCUUUUCAUUGAACAUCUAUUUUUCAUGUGAUCAUAUUGAUUACAAUAAUGACAGACAACUUGAUUCUUAAUGGAGGUACUCUUCACAAAGUAAUUCUUAUAAUACUUUUGUUUCAAAUUUGGUUUAUAACCAAUACUUCCUUUGUCAAACACACAUUUUGUUUUAAUUAAGUAAGUUAUCCAACAUCUUUUGCCCAUUUGUGAAUUUUAGCACAAUUUCAUUUAGCUCAUUAUUAUUUUUCUUAAGCACUUCAUUUUCUUUUAUCAAUUCAUCAACAUGUGAUUUUUCAUGCUCAUAUGAAGUACUUUGUUUACCUUUAAAAGAUGCAAUCCUAUUAUGCAAUAUUUUAUUAUCUAAUUCUAAUUCCUUUAUCUUCUCAUUUAAUGAAUCAUUGCAUUUUUGCAGGGCAUCCUUUUCAUUUGUAAGUUCGAGCAUUUUCUUUUUAAGACAUGCACUCUUUUUACCAAUUUUUAUCCAAUUAUCAUGCAAUUCCUUAAAAGCAUCAUAUAAUUCAUCAUAAAUAGGAUCACUUACCUCAUCGAGUUCGUCAACCGAUUCAUCUCCAAUUGCCAUAAGUGCCAAAUUUGACAUUUCCUGAAAUUCCUCCUCAUUUGUAGUCUCCUCAUACACAACUUCAAGUUUUCUCUAAAUUUCAUAAGCAUUAGAACAAUUUGGAAUUCUAUGAAAUUCCUUUUUAUCUAAGGCACAAAAUAAAGCAUUCAUAGCCUUGGAAUUUAAAGACAUCUUUUUCCUAUCCGACUCACUUAAAGUAUUCUUCCUAGGAAUGAAUGAACCAUAAAAAACUAUUUCACAUAUUUCAUAGUUUAAGGCUUGUAAAAAGACUCUCAUCCUAGUUUUCCAAUAAGUAUAGUCAUUACCAUAAAAAAAUGGAGGUCUCGUGGUGCAUUGGCCUUCCAUGAAGGUUGAGUUAAUUUGGGUUGGUAUGGAUUUUUAAGUCUAGACAGUUAAGUCUACACAAGAGCAUCUCGCUCUAAUACCAAAUGAAAAAUAACUAGGCAACCUAAGAGGGGGGUAAAUUGGGUUUUUAAAACUUAAGCUAAACAAACCACACAACAAUUCAAUCUAUUGCUUUAAUGAAAUAAAAAACGAUAAAUUUAAUAAAGCACAAUAAUAAAAGAGUAAAGGAAGAUAGAGCAAACACAAUUAUUUUUACGUGGUUUGGCAAUCCCCGUCUAUGCCCACACCUCCAAGCAAACCAAACUUGAGGAUUUCAUUAUCCAAGCCUCCCAAGACUUCAAACGCUUACAAUUCACUUCCAAGGUAUCAAUGAACCUUUACAACGAGAGAUUAUCUCAAAUCUCUUCACUCAAGUGUAUCCCAACACUUACAACCUCUCAGCUUGAUUUUACAAAAAGGAUUACAAAAAUUUCUUUCACACAAUGUGUUUGAAUACAAAUGAAAUCCCAAUAUGUGUGAAUAAAUGAAAUGAAUGCACAAAAUUUAUGCUUUAGACUUGCAGAGAAAUGAUCAAUAAUAAUAAUGGUUGCAUCACUUUGAUUGAAAUUGAUUUGAGCCAAUUUAUAGUUGAAGAAGAAAACUAGCCAUUAUUGACUUUCUGGUAAUAACUGGCUUCCCGCUUUGUGAAUCUGACUUGCCACUUUAUGUUACUGUUGUAUUCAAAGAUUUGAAUUUUUUCACAUCCGGCAUACCGCUUUUCUUUUUUGGUAGGUCGCUUUUAGUCCAGAGAGUUUCUGUCCAUAACCGAUUUGCCGCUUGAUAAAUCUGGCUAGCCGCUUGCUACAGUGAAACAUAUAUUUUCAAAAAUUAUAAUUUUGCCCUAAAACUUUAUAAAAUUAUAUUAUGACCCAAAAUAUCAUAAAACUUUACAAAAAGGUCCAAUUUUAGAAUUUCUAAAUAAUUCUUGUAAUUCCCAAAACUUUCUAAAAUUAUGUUAAAGCCUGAAAUUUAUAGAAAUUAUAGUAUGACCUAAAUAUUUCAAAUGUUUGCAAAUAGGUCCAAGUUCAGAAUUCAAAACAAUACUUAUUAAAAUCAAAGAUGACAAAACAUUUUCAUUUUAGUCCACAUCUUGAAAAAUAACUAAUUUCAUAAAGUCAUUCUCUUGUUAUAAAAACAUAAUGUGUAACUUUUUGUUUAUCUAAAACAUGUGGUUUGUUAUCAUCAAAAUCAACAUUUUAUAGCCAUAUAGGCUAGCACAGAAGAUGUUAAAGCAUUUCUGAGUUCAAAGGAGAUUUAGAAGAAUAAUCGGCAUGAAGUAAGUAACAGUGAAGGCUUGGUGGCUAAAAUAGAAAAGAAAACAUAGAAGAAGAACAAGAAUCAAACAAAGAAAGAUGAAGGAUUUGCAAGAGAAAAGUUAAGGAAGAGAAAGUGCUUUUACCGUAAUAGACGCCAUUAUAUUAGAUAUUAUGCUAAAAAAAAAGGAAGAUGACAAAGAAAUAAAGAAGGAUGCAGCAGUGGCUUCUAAUGAUUCAUCUAAUGAUGGAUAUUACAAUGCUGACUUAUUGGUGGCUUCAAGCAACAACAUAAGAGGUUAGUGGGUUCUUAACUCAGGUUGUUCCUUUAAUAAGUGUCAUGAUAGAAGUCUCUUUUGUGAAUAUGAAUCAAUGGACGACGAUAAAGUCUUGAUGGACAAGUACAAUAUGUGUAAGAUUGUUAGUAUUUGGUCUAUAAAAAUCAAGAUAUUUGAUAGGAUCGCAAGAACUCUGCAUUAUGCAAGGCAUGCACCUAGGCUUAAGAGAAAUUUAGUCUCCUUAGGUAUGCUUGAUAUCUCAAGAUACUUCUUUAAGUUUGAAAAUGAUGGCUUAAGGAUAAUAAAAUGGACUGAAAUGGUGAUGAAAGGUGUUAAAAAAGAACAUCAGUACCUAUGUUAGCUACAAUGCUAUUAUUUUUUAGGUAUAUAGAAUGAAGUUAUGGCAUCUUAAGCUUGGCCAUAUAAGUGUUAAGGGAGUGUAAGAGUUUAAUAAGCAAGGGUUUCUGUGCGGUGAUGAGAUUUAGGAGCUUGAGUUUUGUGAAAACUCUAUCUUUGGCAAGGCAUAUAGGUCCAAAUUCACAAAAGGCUUGAACUGUACAAGUUCAAUCUCUAAGUGAUAAGAGAUAUUUCAUGUCUUUGAUAGAUUAUUACUUUAGGAAGGUAUGAUUAUACAUUCUUAAAACCAAAUAUCAAGCUUUAGGGAAGUUUGAAGUAUGGAAAACUUUGGUGGAGACUUAAUCUAUUUGAAGGUUAAGUGCCUAAGAACAGAUAAUAGACUUGAAUUAUGUAAUAAAGAAUUUGAGGAAUUUUUUCAGAAAUAGAGAAUCAUUAAGCAUAAGAAAACAAGAUUCACCUUUUAGCAAAAUGGUUUAGCUGAAAGGAUGAAUAAAACUUUCAUUGACAAAACAAGAUGUUUGCUGAUAAACACAAAGUCACCAAGGAGAUUUUGUGCAAAAACUGUCUCUCAACUUGUUAUUUGGUUAGCAAGAGCCCAUCUACAGCUAUUAGGUUCAAAACUCUAGAAGAACUUCGUCUAGGAAGCCUGCGAAUUACAAACAUCUUAGGAUAUUUGGAUGUCUUGUAUAUGGUCGGAUUAAGCAAGGAAAUGUUUAUGCAAGAGCUAUCAAGAGAGUGUUUAUAAGUUAUCGAGAUGGUAUCAAGGGCUACAAAAUUUCGUCUGGAGAAGCUCAUGAGUGUUUAAUUAGUAGAGAUGUUUAGUUUAAUAAAGCUAUCAUGAUCAAUAAGUCUAGUAUAGCCAGUUAUAAUACUGACAUCAUUGCUAAUAAAACACAAGAAGGAAUAGAAAAUGACCUUAGUUCUAUGGGUUAGAGAGAGAACUUUGGCCUUCAUUUCUCAAAACACACUUUGAACUUAAACCCUCUAUCAUUCAGCUUUCACCAUCUUUCCAUGGGUUAGAGAGAGAGGAUUCAUAUUUUCACAUUAAGGAAUUUCUUGACAUAUGCUCUACAUUCCGUUUUCAAAAUUUUAAUGAUGAGUCAAUUAGGCUUCGUAUGUUCCCUUUCUCAUUAAAAAAUAAAGCAAAAGCUUGGUUGAAUUCACUUCCAGCUGGGUCUAUUACCACGUGAGAUGAAUUGAGUAAUAAGUUUCUCACAAAAUUUUUCUCUAUGUCUAAAACAAAUGUACUUAGGAAAGAGAUAAGUGAUUUUUAUCAAAGAGAGAGUGAGAAAUUUUGUGAGUAUUGGGAAAUAUUCAAUGAUUUACUCCUCAAGUGUCCCCACCAUGGUUUUAAGAAAUGAAAACUUAUACAGUGCUUUUAUAAUGGUUUAACUAUGUUAAAUCGUCACAUGGUAGAGUCUAUGAAUGGUGGGAGAUUUUUGAACUUACAUGAAGGGGCUGCAUGAGAUUUCUUUCAUUCACUUUAUGAGAAUUCUCAACAGUGUGAUUUUUCAAAUCAAAGAGAGAAAUCACCUCUAGUUUCUAGAAAAGGUUUAUAUGAAGUUAAAGAUGAUUUUGAUGUGAAAGCUACCCUCGCUACACUUUUUAGGAAAGUAGAUGCCUUAGCUCUGAAUCAAUCAAUGAAUCAUCAUCCUAGUGUCGCUAGUGAGGCUUGUGCUCUUUGUUCUAACUUGUCUCAUACAACACAAAAUUGUCCGUCAUUACCAACCUAUCAAGAGGCUUAUUCUGAGCAGGUACAUGCCUUACAAUCAUAUGAGAAAACCUCUAAUAGUCCAUAUUCACCCACAUAUAAUCUUAAUUGGAGGAAUCACCCUAAUUUUUCCUGGAAACAAAAUCAAUCUUUGUCAAACCAAUGAUGGCAACAAUUUAGCAUGCCCAAUCAAUAAUUUGUCCCUCCUAACCAAGUAUAUCCCUAGCCUAUGUCUCAAUUUGUUGCACCCCAACAAAUAAAACUUUCUUUAGAGGAUACGCUUAAAAGUUUUAUUCAAUCAACCCAACAAGCCUUUCAGUCAAACACGCAAGUUAUUUUAAAUCUUGAACAUUAAUUGGGUCAAUUAGCAACUACCAUAGUUGAGAGAGAAAAAUGAAAAUUCCCAAGUCAACCAGUUCCUAAUUCUAAAGGAGUGUAUGGAGUUGGAUCAAGUUUAAGCCAUCAAUAUGAAGAAGCAAAAUCAAUUGUGACCUUGAAAAGAGGAAAAUUAUUUGACAAUAAGGUGGAGGUUCGAAUAAGAAGGACAUCUGAACUUACUUCUUUAGAUCCAGUUCCAUCACAAGACUCAUCACCGAAUGAUCCAGAAGAAAGUGAUCCACCAGCUUAUAUUCCUAAGCUCUUUUUCCUCAAAAGUUAGCAAAGGUAAAGAAAGAGACUUCAAUAGGUGAGAUUAUGGAAAUCUUCUAGCAGGUGAGUAUAAACAUCCUGUUACUCGAUGCUAUUAAGCAAGUUCCUUCUUAUGCCAAGUUUUUGAAAGAUUUAUGCGCUAAAAAGAGAAAUGUUACAUGUCACCAAAAAGGCAUUUUUAACUGAAGAAACUAGCAAUUUACUUCAAUGUAAAAUGCCACCAAAAUUUAAGGAUCCAGGUUCCCCUACUAUCUCAUGUGUUGUAAGGAACCAAUUGUUUGAUAAAGCAUUAUUAGAUUUGGGUGCUAGUGUUAAUCUCUUACUUUAUUCUGUUUACAUGCAGCUUGGACUAGGUGAGUUAAUAUCAAUUUCUAUUAUUUUGCAACUUGCAGAUAGGUCAAUGAAAAUACCUCGUGGGAUUAUAGAGGAUGUGUUGAUACAAAAUGACAAAUUUUAUUAUCUUGUUGAUUUUAUUGUUAUUGAUAUUCAACAUGUACAAGAUCCUUAGAAACACACCCCGGUUAUUCCAGGUCGUCCUUUCUUAACUACAGCUGAUGCUCUUAUUAAUUGCAGGAAUGGAAACAUACAGCUAUCUUUUGGUAAUAUGACCAUGGAAUUGAAUAUUUUUAAUGUUACUAAGAAGCCACAUGAAGAAGAUGAAUUUGUCGAAGCAAAUAUGAUAGAGGAAUUAGUAGAAGAUUCAUUCAUUUCUAACCACACUGAUGAUCCAUUAGAGGCAUGUUUAACUCAUUCUGAUUUAUCUUCUAAUGAUGACAGUGUAAUUGCAGAAGGCAACGCCUUACUUGAUGCACCUCCAAUUAUGGACACCACAAAGUCAGAACCAUAACCUCAUUCUGAGAAGAAGAUUAGCCCAUCUACGGAGACACCACCAAAAUUGGAACUCAAAGCAGUGCCCGACACACUAGAAUAUGCAUUCUUAGGAAAAUUUAACACUCUACCUGUUAUUAUAUCUUUUUCCCUUGAUCUUGAGUAAAAAGAUAAGUUAUUGGGUAUUCUAAAAGAGCAUAAGAAGGCAAUAUGAUAGACCAUUGCUCAUAUUAAAGGUAUAAAUCCAGUAGAUUGCAUGCAUCGUAUUCAUCUCAAAGAAAAUGCUAAGCCUAUUAGGGAGAUGCAACGUAGGCUAAAUCCUAACAUGAAAGAAGUGGUAAGAGCGGAAGUAAUAAAAUUAUUAUAUGCACGAAUUAUUUAUCCUAUUUCAGAUAGCCCUUGGGUUAGCCCUGUGCAAGUUGUUCUUAAGAAAUAUGGUGUUACAGUAGUUACUAAUGCUAAUAAUGAAUUAAUUCCCACUAGAGUAACUACAGGUUGGCGUGUUUGCAUUGACUAUAGAAAAUUGAAUUCAGUCACAAGAAAUGAUCAUUUUUCUCUUCAAUUUAUUGAUCAAAUGCUUGAUAGACUUUGCAGUCAUAAUUUUUAUUGUUUUCUAUAUGGAUAUUUAGGUUAUAAUCAGAUCCCUAUAGCUCUAGAGAACCAAGAGAAAACUACUUUUACUUGUCCUUUUGGAACUUUUGCAUAAAUGAGAAUGCUAUUUGGUUUAUGCAAUGCACUUGAUACCUUUCAAAUAUGCAUGCUUAGUAUUUUUACUAAUAUAGUUGAGUGAUUUCUUAAAGUAUUCAUGGAUGAUUUUUCUAUUUUUGGAGAUUCUUUUGAUGAAUGUUUGUAGCAUCUAACAUUAGUUUUGCAGAGAUAUAAAGAAAAGAACUUGGUUCUAAAUUGGAAAAAGUGCCACUUCAUAGUAAAACAGGGUAUUGUUCUUGAUCAUAUAAUUUCCAACAGAGGUAUAGAAAUCGACAAAGCCAAGGUAGAUUUAAUUUCUAAUCUCCCACCUCCCAAAUUCGUAAAAGAAGUAAGAUAUUUCCUUGGACAUACUGGUUUUGAUAGAAGAUUCAUUAAAGAUUUUAGUAAAAUUUCUAGACCCUUAUACAAUUUACUUGCUAAGAAUGUACCUUUUAUCUUUGAUGAUUUUUGUCUUGAUACUUUUGAAAAACUUAAGAAAUUGUUGACUUCUUCACCUAUCAUUCAACCACUUAAUUGGGAUUUGCCUUUUGAAAUUAUGUGUGAUGCAUCUGAUUAUGCUGUAUGAGCAGUUUUAGGACAAAGAUUACAUCGUAUGCCUUAUGUGAUUUAUUAUGCUAGUAUGACACUCAAUGAUGCACAAUUGAACUACUCAACUAUAUAAAAAGAAAUGCUAGUUGUGGUGUUUGCACUUGAUAAAUUCAAAUCUUAUCUUAUAGGUUGUAAAGUGAUUAUUUUUACUGAUCAUGCUGUUUUGAAAUAUUUGCUUACUAAGAAAGAUGCUAAGGCAAGUGAUAACUCUAUGAAAUGAGAGUUAUUACAACAAUUCUAAACUUAAAUCAAGACCACUUAGAGAGUAAAUGAUGUGUUUUUAUUAUAUUUUGGUUAUAUUUUGCAUAAACAUCCAUUUUAGUUGAGUCUUAAUAAGUUUGCUUGAUUUAAAGUAAUUUGUGUUCAAAACAUGUGCAUAAUUGUAGGUUUUCAGAAGUUUAUAAUUCAUGAAGGGAUGCUGAGAUAUUAAGCUAGCAAGAAGAAAAAAAAAUAUGGCCACAAAAGAAGUGAAACACAAUCGGGAACAAUGUAGUGUUAUAGCCAUUGCUGGAGCAAUCAUUGCUGCGGCAAUCCUGGAACACCGAGGGAGAAAACUUAGCGCGGGUUAGCUGCAGAAUUGCGAUCUGUAGUUUCCUAAUUUGACUCAUAUACGCCUGAGGCUUUUGUUUACCCUAGUUUUCAGUUAUAAAAGGAGGCGCACAUCACAUAAAAUGAAAAAGGAAUUAUCUUUAGAAAAAUUGGAGAGAAAAAGAAAAAGAAGAUCAGAUCUCAAGGGAACCAAGGCUGUAUCAUUAAAAAAUCCAGUAGAGUUAUUUGGAUUCACUAUCUAUCGUUCUUCACUUAUUCUUUCUUCACUCUUUGAUUAAACCAAUGUAUUUCGUGACUAAUAUAUUGCUGUUUGUUUUUCUCUUUCAGAAUAUGAACUAAACUUGAUUGUAGUUGAGUGAUAAAUAAUCUAAUGGGUUCUUAAAUGUUCCUAUGAGUUGCUAUAUAAUUGCUAUAGCAUUUUACUCUAGUAGUUAUUAUUAUAACUGUUAUCUCGGUUGACCACCCAUUUAAUUGUUAAAGUUAAGAUAGAGCCGCAAAAGGGCAUGUCUUAGUGGAUAUUAUUAUAGGAAUACUUGAUCUUAAUAUAAGUUUCCUGGAUUAAGUUUAUCUUGAAUCUCAUAAUGGCCAUACUUGAAGCUAAGAUUUGUGAUAACUUAGACAUAGGUACUCACCUUGUAGGGUAGAGAGAGUGGAUGUUCAUAAUGACAUGCCAUAGGUAGAAUAACAACUGGUCAUUGCUAAGAUACUUACAGGUAUGAGAAUUCCAAUAUGCGACAGUUGAGGAUGCAAAAUAAAUUCUGCCCAAUGCUAUAGAAAUUGUUGUAGCAAUUGGUGUUAACUUGAUAAAGAAAAGUCAGCCCAUAAAGAGAGUUUGAUCAUUCAACUACAUUAUUCUCAUUUGAUCAUUCGACGCAUUUUUUUAAAUUUGUUUCAUUAUUGCGUUGUUUCAUUUUAUUCUCUCACAAUUAUCAGUUCAAUAGUAACCAACUUUACAUUUGUUCCUUUCAGAAUCAAGGUAGAUUGCACUAUUGUGAUUGCUGUAGCAUUUCUAGUAACAUCAAUCCCUGUGGAGAUGAUCUUAAAUAUUCAUCACUUUAUUACUUGUUGUGUACACUUGCACAUUGGCAUCAAUAGCAUUUGAUAUAAAUAUAACCAACAACAAGAUUGAUUCAUUGGGUGUUGCUUUUACAGGAAUUUGACAUUGAAUUUAGAGAUAAAAAAUGUUCUGAAAAUGUUGUGGCGAUCAUUUAUCUCGCGUUGAUUUUAAAUUUAUUCCAUAAUCUUUACCUUUGAAUGAAUCUUUCUUAGAUGAGGAACUUAUAAGUGUAAAUGUUGUACCAUGGUUUGCUGAUAUAGUUAAUUACCUUGCCACAGGUCAAAGAUUUGGCAAUUUAGAAUGCAUGUGCAGGGCAUUAAAAGAAGAAACUAUUAAUUGGCCUUUUGCUUUUAAGUUAAACGUGUGGCUAGCUUUCAAAUCUUAAUAAGGAAACAAUUUAAAAAGGGCUUGGUGAGUGGGCUUUGUUAAGUCGGUGGGUGGCUAAGCAUUAUAAAAAGCGGACUUUGGCUUUUGAAAGAGGAGCCAUCAGAGGAGAAAAAGAAAGCAUUUGGCAAAGAAGAAGAAUAACGACAACAGCAGCAGUUCAGCUUCCCAUGGCUGGUUUUAUUUUAUUUGUUACCCCCAAUUCAAGUAUGUCUAGCUAAUUUUCUUAUAUUGAGGUUAAGGUUGAAACUCUAUUCAAUGAAAUAAUUAUUUUUUUAAUUAAUUCCCUACAUGUGUACUUUAAUGUUUAUGGUUCUUGUUUCACAUGAUUAGUUGGAUGUUAUUAAAAUCUUUUCAUUAAUUCUCUCAUGCAUUAUUGAUUGUUAAGAUUAAUAUUUGACUAAAUUUAUGCUUGGAUCUAUAAAGUUUAUACAUGAUUAUCUUUGAUUCUAUAUUUUUCAUUAAAUUAUUUACAUAGAGGUCUUAUGAAAACUUUGACUCUUUGUUAUUCAAUAUGUUUAUAUGAGAUACUUAGAUAUCAUACUAUUAAGAAGAAAAAUAACCUACACAAGAUUAAUUUUAAUUGGGCUUAAUUGUUAUAUCCAUGAGAUGACAUAGAUUGAUUUUGAGUUGUCACUCUAAAAUUAGGAAUUAAUUAAUAAUUAGAUAAUUACUAGUUGAAUAGUGGUGGAUUCUGAAACUUUGGUAAUUUUUGUCUUACUAAAUUCUCCUUUGCUUUAAUUGUUUUCUUAGUUUAAUUUUCUUAAAAACUCAAUUUGCUCAACUAGGUUAGGAUUAAUAUUAAUUUUAGAUUUAAAUUAGAUUUUUCAAUUUAUAGAAAUCCCUGUGGGUUCGACCUCGUUACCACUAUUCCAUUUUUAGAUUCGUGCGCUUGCGAGUAUAUUAAAAUCUUUCACAAUAAAUACACUGAAUCAAAACCAAAACCAAACUAGUUCUUUUAGGGUCUGAUCUGGUUUAACCCUCUUCUAAAUGCCACGUGGCAUUUUUAACUUAAAAAUUAUUUUUGUGGUUAUUCAGUUCAGUUUUUCAAAUUUGAAAUUUUAAACCGAAAACUAAAUUGAAGUAUUUAGUUUUAUACUAAGCUGGAAUAUUUUAUUUUCUCUAAGGAAAAAAACAUAAUGAACCCAUAAUUUUUUAAGAUUGUUUAUUUAUGCCCACCUUUAAUCAUGAAGGGACUAAGUGCAUUAAUGUCAAACUACACUUUAUUAGAGAAAGGUCUGUCGUGGUAGCAAAGAUCUAUACAUAUGUUAACCCAGUUGAUAUGCAAAAGUGAUUCCAACAACCAAAUUCAAGUUAUGUGUGAGCUUGAUUAGUGCUGGGAAUGGUUCUUGUAGUUAAGCUAUGUGCAUAAAGGUUUUUUAGAUGCUGCUUUUUUAAAUGAUCAUUUGAAUGAAGUCUGUAAAGUGUAGAAUGUGAAGAUAAAAGUAUUUGAGUUUUUGGACUUCAAUCCAAAACUUGAAAAAGUGAUGGGCCAAUAUAUACAUUAAACUAUAAUUAGCAAAAUUUGACAUGAACACGAUACGAAUAAAUGGAUAUGAGCCGUCAAAUUUGACAAAAUUAUGAUAACUCUAUGAAAUUAGAGUUAUCAUGAGACUUUUAGGUUUAAAUCAAGACUACUUAAAGAAUAAUUGAUGUGCUUUUAGUACAUUUUGAUGUUGGUUUGCAUUAACAUCUAUCUUAGUUUAAGUUUGAUGAAGUUUGUGUGAUUUGAAUAAUUGUAUGCCUAAAACAUGUGCUUAAUUAUAAGUGAUUGGAAACCUGAAUUCUAUAAAAAGGCUGUUGUUGCAAUGGACUUAUAAAAAGGACAAACGAUAUGGCUACAGAAGACUAGAAGCAAGGCUGGAACAGUGCAGAUGCUGUAGCAACCAUUGGUGUAGCAAUCAUCGAGCAUUGACAGAAAAUUCGGGCAGGGUAUUUAGAAUAUUGCGAUCUGCAGUUUCUAAAUCUAAAGAGGCGCACCCUAAAAGUUUUCGUUUACCCUAGUUUUCAACCAUAAAAGGAGGCGUACAUGAAAAGAUAUAGGGGGAGAGGCCGUCAAUCAAGAUAAAAAACAGAAAAGUGACAACGAAGAUACAAAAUUCCCGAUCAGAAUUCAAGGCUGCACCAGUAGAAGAACUUGCAGAAUCGAUUGGAAUCUGUUCUUUCUCUUUCUUUUAUUGUUUAUUUGCUACUCAUUAAUCAUUGAAGAUGUAUUCGAUGGCAAGAACUUGGUUGUUUAUUUACCUUUCACAAAUUAUAAACUAAAUUUAAUUGUGGUUGAGUGUUAAACUAGCUUGAUGGUUAAUUGACUGAAUAUAAAUGUUGCUGCAUGUUUGCUAUAGCAUUUUGCUUUGAUAGUACUUAGUUAAAGUCAUUAUUUCGGCUGACCACCCAUUUAAUGGUUCAAGCUAGGAAAGAGCCACAAAAGGGCCUAUCCUAGUGGAACAUAUCAGAGCAAUAGUUGUUCUUUAAUUGAGUUUCCUGGAUUAAGUUUAACUUGAGUCCUAAAAGGGCCAUGCUUAAUCUAAGAUUAAUGAUGAACUAAAUAUAGGGAUUCACCUUGUAGGGUAAAGAGAACAUAAACGUGUAAUGCUAUAUCUUAUGUUGACAUAGCAACUGGUCACUGUUAGAUUGCAUAAAGAUAUAAGACAUCCAACAUGCAACCGUUGAGAAUAAAGUUGGUUUCUGCAUAGUGCUGCAGCAACUGACUUUAACAUGAAUAAAACAGUCAACACCAUCAAUGGGAGUUUACGCACUCAACCACUCCAUCUCUAUUGAUUUAACCUUUGUGUUUAACAUGCCAACUCUAUUCAUCGCAAUUUUUAUUUAUUGAGAUUUUAUUUUACUAAGUUAUUUGGUAGUCUUAAUUGUAUUGAUUUAAUUUAGAACAUAGAUUGCACUGUUGAAAUUGUUGUAGCAAGUCUGAUAGCAUCAAUCCUUGUGGAGACGAUCUUCAAUACUCAUCAUUUUAUUAAUUGUUGUGUAUACUUGCACAUUGACACCAUAGCAAUUGAAGUAAAAAUCAACAAUAAUUAUUAAAUAGGUUGGGCCCGGUUUCACACGAUUUUUUUUUGUUAGGGUUAAAAUUCUUGACCUACUAUCUCGAUCAAUGACACAAUUAUGUUUUUUAUUCUAAAUUAAUUUGCAGGUUUUUAUCAUCAAAACUCAAAUAUUGGAUAUAAUUCUUUAUUUUAUUUUAUUUUAUUUUUUUGCAAGGAUGAACAUAGACACAUUCAUUUUAUAAAAUUUUAUUUAGAUUUAGAACUUUAAUAGUAUUAAAAUUAUAAAAUAUUGGUAGACAUGUAUAUUUUAUGAUAUCGAUAUAUAAUAAUAUAUAUGAUUAAAACUUCAAUAGUGUAAUGUGUAAUGGUAGAUAUAUAUAUUUUACAAUAUCGAUAAAUUGUAUAUAUAAACAUACACACACAUAUGCAAAUAUUUAAUGAAAAUUUUGUUAAAUAUAUAAAUAUUGCGUAGGUUCUUAGGUAACCCAUCUAUUUUUUGUGUUGAGUUAGGGUCUCAAUAUUUUGUCAUGAUUACUAAAUGGGUCGUGUUUAGGUCGACCUAAAUUUGAUAUGACACAAACAUCACUUGGUAUCCUAUUUUGACAACUUUAGUUGAAACCACCUAUUAUGUGCGUUUGUGUGUGUGUGUGUGUUAAAAAAUAAUUGGCAACUAGCUGCAAUCCACUUGAUAUGAUUAGAUAUGAUGAUUUGAUAAAAACUAAAAAUAAAAAGAUUCGAAAUUGAUUAUAUGUGUACAUAUUGAUUAAAAAAGAAAAAAAGUCAUAAUCAUUAUAAUAGGUUUUCUUAGGCUCCGUUUGGUAUAACUUUCAAAUAGAGCUUAUUUAAGUAGAUAUUUUGUUAAUAGAGCUUCUAUAAGUAGAGCUUUUACUGAAAGCAAUUUAAUUUUUGGUUGUCAAUGAAAACUUUUAUUAAAAAUUAUAAAAUUACUUUAAUGGGUAAUUUUUUUAUAGUUAUAUUAUGAAAGGAAUGAAAUAAGAUUAUUGAAUAAUUAAAUGAUAUUUUAGAUAUUUUAAUGUUUAAUAAAAAAAUUUUAACCUGUACUUCUAGUUUGAGCUUUUGCUAGUGGAGGAAAAAUAACUUAUUUAAUCUUCAAAACCUCUACUAAAAAGUAGCCAAACAACAACAAGAAUUUUAAUAAGAGCUUACGAGAUUAAAUAAAUACUUAUAAUCAUUUAAUAAGUUAUACCAAACAAGCACUUAAUACGUGUUUGUAGAUCAAAUUUGGUAGGCAAUCAUGUCAAAUUUAUUACUUCACAUUUGGCAUUGAUUGGAAUUACGAUGGCAAAUGCUAUCUAAAGGCUUGAAAAGUCAAAAUAUUGAUGCACUAGCCAUAGUAAAGUACUACUAGCUAGGGGUUUUUAGUAUUUACCGAUAUUGUUUUUUUUUUUUUACUUUUUACUCCUAUAAGGUGAAAAUACAUUCAAUUAGCAAAAUUAGAGAUGGCCAAUGGGCUGAGCGGCUCGUGGCACGGUACGGCACGAGCAUGUUCCAGUAAGGCACAUGGCAUGUCGUGCCAUGCACAUAGGUUGGGUUGGGCUGGGUUGAGAAUUUUAGGUAUGUGGGCCUUAAAAGUACGACAUGAUUAGAGAUAGGUUAAAGUAUGAGAUGUGAAAAGGCCCGUAAUUAAUAUGUUACACUUUUUAAUGAAAGCAAAUAGCUUGAAAUUGAAUAUUUUAAUAUAUUUUAUUAGUGUAAGUUUUUUAAAUUCAUUUAAUUCUUAAUUUGAAAAAAUACUCUAAUUGUUUUAUGUUUAUAAUUUAUUAAAUGAAAAGAUAAUAUCAUGAUUUUAAUAAAUAAAAUUAUAAAUAUCAUGAUUUUAUUAAAUAUAUGUAUUAAUGUUAUUAUGGAGAAUGAUCUAUAAUUAUAUGUACGUCCAAUUUAACAAUUAAAUUAACCACUAAGAAAAAAUUUUUAUUGUUGUUGUUAUCGUUGUUAAAUAUUGAAAAAGAAUUCUAAUUCCAUAGUGUCUAACUUAAUAAUUAGUAUUACAUUAUCUUACUAUUAUUAGUUUAUUACAAUUGAAUAUAAAAUUGUGUUUUGAAUUUUUGAUUCUAUUAAAUUUGACUAAAGACACAUGGACCCCAAAAAAAACAUAUAGACUUGAAAAAAGCAUACCAAUAACUUGGCAUGCUCACUUAAAAAAAUAGAAAAGAAAAAAAUUUCUCGUGUUUUUUUCUUAGGCACAGCCUAUAACACGGCACGACCCGCUUGGGUAUAACACAUGUGCUGGGCCUGGGCCUAUGCAGAAAAUUUUGACACCACAUGGUACGGUACAAAACACAUGGUAGACACUGAACGACAUGAAUAUGAACCUGCAUUUCUUUUAAUGGACUACGUCGGCACAGGGCUCGUUGGCCAUCUCUAAGCAAAAUCGGCCUACUUUUAUCCGACUCAGUCACCGGUUUCACUUUUCUGCUAACAUACCGAGAAACUUUCUAGUAAAAAUUUCCACCCUCAGAACACUUUUUUUUCUAUCAAAUAUUUGACUCAACUUUUGAUUUAUUCAACUCAAUGAUCUUCCUAAGGCUCACUUACUCUCUUUUUCUCACUCUCCUUGAUUAUCUCCCCCUCACUGGUUACAUUAUGUGGCUUGCAGACUCUGCAAAGCUAACCAUUUACUACUUCCUGAGGAAAACUAUGUAUCUCACUCACCGUCACUGAAUCUGACGCCGACUUCAACCGCCUCUCUCGCAAUAACGGAAACUACGAAGUCGUUGAAUUCAUCAUCUAACACCAAAGUUGUCAAUAUCAGACGAAAAAGCUGAGGUGAUUGCUAUAUAAAUAAUUUUGUUUCGAAACUAAGGGUUUUGCAUCUCCGUUUUCACUCACAACGCUGUCAUCCACAGGAAGAGCAAAACAAUGUUUGAGAGAUCUCGGGCUUAUUUAUGCAAACAACUAAUUCGGAUGGAACAACAAAACCUUAAUAAUUCUUCGAUAUUAUUACCCGCCGAGCUAAUCCCGUGAUUUGACC